GAUCACCAUCCUCGUGAUGAUCCUAUGGUCAGGAGCUGUUUAUGAGUUAGUUAUGUAAAUUCGUGUAUUAAAUUUUCAACUUUUGAAAAUAUGAAUUAACAUUCCUACUAACUCAAAGGAUGUAUCACAGACAUAAUGUACACAAUGUGAUAGUUGAAUAAUCUUUUUAUUUAUUUAUAGUCAUAAUUAUAAAUUUGCCCUUAGAUUUGUACAGGAAUGUGUCAGCCA
rnacentral:lncRNA from 1 species